UGCAGUCGAGCGAUGGAUUAAGAGCUUGCUCUUAUGAAGUUAGCGGCGGACGGGUGAGUAACACGUGGGUAACCUACCCAUAAGACUGGGAUAACUCCGGGAAACCGGGGCUAAUACCGGAUAAUAUUUUGAACUGCAUAGUUCGAAAUUGAAAGGCGGCUUCGGCUGUCACUUAUGGAUGGACCCGCGUCGCAUUAGCUAGUUGGUGAGGUAACGGCUCACCAAGGCGACGAUGCGUAGCCGACCUGAGAGGGUGAUCGGCCACACUGGGACUGAGACACGGCCCAGACUCCUACGGGAGGCAGCAGUAGGGAAUCUUCCGCAAUGGACGAAAGUCUGACGGAGCAACGCCGCGUGAGUGAUGAAGGCUUUCGGGUCGUAAAACUCUGUUGUUAGGGAAGAACAAGUGCUAGUUGAAUAAGCUGGCACCUUGACGGUACCUAACCAGAAAGCCACGGCUAACUACGUGCCAGCAGCCGCGGUAAUACGUAGGUGGCAAGCGUUAUCCGGAAUUAUUGGGCGUAAAGCGCGCGCAGGUGGUUUCUUAAGUCUGAUGUGAAAGCCCACGGCUCAACCGUGGAGGGUCAUUGGAAACUGGGAGACUUGAGUGCAGAAGAGGAAAGUGGAAUUCCAUGUGUAGCGGUGAAAUGCGUAGAGAUAUGGAGGAACACCAGUGGCGAAGGCGACUUUCUGGUCUGUAACUGACACUGAGGCGCG
rnacentral:rRNA from 2 species